AAUUAUAUUGAUUACGGAACAAGAAAAAGAAAGAGUAAAGGGCCGUAAAUAGAAGCAUCUCCUUCUCCUCCUCUUAUAUUCCCCUAAUAAAACUCAUUCUACACAAUCAACCUUUUCUGUUGAUUCAUCUUCCACUCCUUUCGCUUCUCUCCUCACAAGAAAGAAAAAACAACAACAACUGCAACCAUCCAUAACAAUAUAGGUUGUAGAAGAAGGAAUUUUCCUUUGGGGUCUUCUAAUUAAGUGAUGAGAUUGAGAUUUUGACAAGAAAUUUGAUUCUAAUUAAGUGCUAAUUUCUCGAGCUUUGGGAGGAGGCGAAAAAAAAAAGUUCUGCAAGUUAAAUUAGAUGAAUUUUGAAGCAUACAGGUUAAGAGAUUUCGUUGAUUUUCUAUUUUAUUGGUGUGGAUUAAUGGAAGCCAGAGCAAGGAGUAAUAAUUUGGUUAA